rnacentral:rRNA from 1 species
AUUGAACGCUGGCGACAUGCCUUACACAUGCAAGUCGAACGGCAGCACGGGUGCUUGCACCUGGUGGCGAGUGACGAACGGGUGAGUAAUACAUCGGUACAUGUCCCUUAGCGGGGGAUAGCCUGGCGAAAGCCGGAUUAAUACCCCAUACGAUCUACGGAUGAAAGCGGGGGAGCUGCGGGCCUCGGGCGAUAGGGUUGGCCGAUGGCGGAUUAGCUGGUUGGGGGGGUAAAGGCCUACCAAGGCGACGAUCAGUAGCUCGUCUGAGAGGACGACCAGCCGCACUGGGGCUGGGACACGGCCCAGACUCCUACGGGAGGCAGCAGUGGGGAAUUUUGGACAAUGGGCGAAAACCUGGUCCAGCAAUGCCGCGUGUGUGAAGAAGGCCUUCGGGUUGUAAAGCACUUUUGUCCGGAGAGAAAUCCUUGGCCCUAAUACGGUCGGGGGAUGACGGUACCGGAAGAAUAAGCACCGGCUAACUACGUG